rnacentral:rRNA from 1 species
CCCUACGGGGCGCAGCAGUGGGGAAUAUUGCACAAUGGGGGAAACCCUGAUGCAGCGACGCCGCGUGAAGGAUGAAGUAUUUCGGUAUGUAAACUUCUAUCAGCAGGGAAGAAAAUGACGGUACCUGACUAAGAAGCCCCGGCUAACUACGUGCCAGCAGCCGCGGUAAAACGUAGGGUGAAAGCGUUGUCCGGAAUUACUGGGUGUAAAGGGAGCGCAGGCGGAUUGACAAGUUGGGAGUGAAAACUACGGGCUCAACCCGUAACCUGCUUUCAAAACUGUCAGUCUUGAGUGGUGUAGAGGUA